GGGCUUCAUCACAAGGCUGUUUUUCUCCAGGUAUGAUGUUGCUGUGGAAACACAAAGCCCAAAUCCUCAAAGAACACUCUGUUCUAGUCCCAGCUGCUGUAUCCAUCUGCGUUGUAUCUCAUUAGCAGAAGAGCCUAGUGAGAUAGGAGUUGCAUCUCUGCUCAUCCAGAUCUCUAGAGAAGGGAUCUACCCCUGGACUUUUUCCUGGACAAAAUAGCUCACUUGCUGGAACCUGCUGAAGAAGUAACCUAACUGAUGUGCUUGAAAGUGCAAAUAUUUCUUGCAUGAUACAUGCUAUAAAAAUUCAUUUCUUAUUCAGCUCGAGGGAAGAUGCUGAAAUUGCUGUGCAUCCAAUGAAAGCUAAGCUUUAGCUUCUUCAUGGAGUGGUGAUGGGCUUCUAAGAAGGAGUUUUCCAAAAAUGCAAAACUGGAAGCUGCAUGGGCUCUUAUAGGCUAACCUUAGAAGGCACUUGUCACUUCUACCUCAUUCUUUUGGACAAAGCAACUCACAGAGCCAACUCAGAAUCAGAUUCAAAAGGAGGAAGAACAAACUGUGGCUUUGAGAUGAUAAGUGACAUGCCCAAGACAACACCAUUCACUGAGAAUAAUUCUUCAGAGAAGCCAGCCUAUUCUUAAAAAAGUUGCUGAGGAGCAAUGCUGCAGGGCUCACAUAAGAGUAAUUGUGACACUGUCUUGUCUGAACAAAUGGGAGUUGCUGACCUGGGAAGGCAAACUCUUAAGACGAAGAAUUUCCAUACAUUUGUCAAAUGCCUUCAAGUUGAAAGUCUCAUCAGAAUCCUAAUGGAUGCAGAAAUAACACCAACUUUCAGAUUAAAUAACUACCUCAAACUCUAAGUUAUAGUUUUUGUUGCUGGAAAAUUAUCUGAUUCUCAUACCUCAGUGGUUUGGAAAAACCAAU
rnacentral:lncRNA from 10 species